UCUCUGUUGGCCUAGUUGAUACUUGCUUAAUGACAUUUUUUAGCCGCAAAUAACAAAAGC
rnacentral:lncRNA from 1 species